rnacentral:rRNA from 1 species
UGGAGCAUGUGGUUAAUUCGACGCAACGCGAAGAACCUUACCAGGGCUUGACACUCCCCUGACCGCGUAUGAAAGUACGUUUUCACCCUCGGGUGACAGGGAGACAGGUGGUGCAUGGUUGUCGUCAGCUCGUGUCGUGAGAUGUUGGGUUAAGUCCCGCAACGAGCGCAACCCCUAUUGUUAGUUGCCAUCAUUCAGUUGGGCACUCUAGCGAGACUGCCGGUAAUAAACCGGAGGAAGGUGGGGAUGACGUCAAAUCAUCAUGCCCCUUAUGACCUGGGCUACACACGUGCUACAAUGGUUGGUACAACGAGUUGCGAGUCGGUGACGGCGAGCUAAUCUCUUAAAGCCAAUCUCAGUUCGGAUUGUAGGCUGCAACUCGCCUACAUGAAGUCGGAAUCGCUAGUAAUCGCGGAUCAGCACGCCGCGGUGAAUACGUUCCCGGGCCUU